rnacentral:sRNA from 1 species
AAAUAAACCUUAUUGAAGCGGUUAUCCUUUUUGUUGCACUGCCAAAAAAAUCCCCACUAACGGAUCGCAAAAAGAUAAUAGCGAAAAGAAGGACUACCC